UGUAGUACUUUUGAAAAGGUACGACUCCAGUGACAGCGUUUGUAUCUUUUUUCUGAGAGUGUAGAUAAAAGUUGAAGAAACUAAUAUGAUAUGGAUAAAACAAGUUUUUGGAUCUUUUCAACUUUUUUGUUACAAUUUCAAGUUUUUUCCCAGGGUGGGAGAGUUUGGGUGUGGGCUCACAUACUCGCGUGAGAGCAAGUCCUGAUGUAAGUAGCUGUUCAGGGUCUGAUACAGGGAAUGAUUCUGAUUGGUCAGCAGACUGAAGGGCAGAGACAUGAUAAGGAUGGAACAGCCUUUGUGUCAUCAUAUGCAAAUGAGCAACAAGCAUUAAAACUCACGACCAAGGGAGCAGCGUUUACGAUCGCUUAAUGGCAUGGAGACAACAGAUUUGUGAAAACAAAAAGACGGGUAAAGGUGACAGAUGAAAGCAAUUAAGAUGUUUUUUAAACACUUCCUGCAGGAGGACUGAGGACACAGAUCUAAAGACAGGAUAUCAUCGUAUACUGUAAGUUCAUUAUUGAGACACUACAGUAUAGAUGAUGUACUAUCCAGGGGGUCAAUACACCUCCGACUGUUUCCUGUGGACCCAAAACCUUUGUGACAGAGAGGGGCGGUGAAACCGUUACCAUUACUGAGUUUAGUAAUGGUAAGGGUUCUCUUGCCUUCUCUCAAAAAUCAUCUGGACAUGAGAGGACCAAGCAUGAGUCGAGUGAACUUCAGAGCAACGGAUGAAGCAGUCAAAACCAGAAGAGUGAACAGAUGGACAAAAUGUUAAGCAGAUUAAAUCAACUAACAAUGAAAUUCUGAUCAUUCUUAUUCUAUACAACUUUAUAGCCUAUAAUGUGUUAUAUGAGACUGCCAUUGUGAGUAAUUGUAAUAAAUAUCACUGAAUUUGAAAUUAAA